rnacentral:lncRNA from 1 species
GGAUAUGUGAGGUUGGCCCAUUUCUCAUUCCCUUCUCCCUUUCUUUUUCUUUUUGGGUCUGGGCCAACUUCAGGGCCCAGAACCGAGCCCACUCACCUAUCUAAGCCCAUCCCCAAACCCUAGCCCACUCCUCACUCAGAUAUACCCCUCCGCGUCCCCACUCUCUCUCUCAUUUCUCAUCCGCGCCGCUCCUUCUCUAACCCUAAAUCUCUCCACUCUCUCUCUGACUCUUCGUUCUCUCCACUUUCCCACCGCCCUCCUGCCUUGGUUUUUCC